rnacentral:rRNA from 1 species
ACGUAGGGUGCAAGCGUUGUCCGGAAUUAUUGGGCGUAAAGAGCUCGUAGGCGGUUUGUCGCGUCUGCUGUGAAAAUCCAAGGCUCAACCUUGGACCUGCAGUGGGUACGGGCAGACUAGAGUGCGGUAGGGGAGAUGGGAAUUCCUGGUGUAGCGGUGGAAUGCGCAGAUAUCAGGAGGAACACCAAUGGCGAAGGCACAUCUCUGGGCCGUAACUGACGCUGAGGAGCGAAAGCGUGGGGAGCGAACAGG